GCCAUGCAUGUCUAAGUAUAAGCAAUUAUACAGCGAAACUGCGAAUGGCUCAUUAUAUAAGUUAUCGUUUAUUUGAUAGUACCUUACUACAUGGAUAACCGUGGUAAUUCUAGAGCUAAUACAUGCUAAAAAUCCCGACUUCGGAAGGGAUGUAUUUAUUAGAUUAAAAACCAAUGCCCUCCGGGGCUCACUGGUGAUUCAUAAUAACUUCUCGAAUCGCAUGGCCUUGCGCCGGCGAUGGUUCAUUCAAAUUUCUUCCCUAUCAACUUUCGAUGUUUGGGUAUUGGCCAAACAUGGUUGCAACGGGUAACGGAGGGUUAGGGCUCGACCCCGGAGAAGGAGCCUGAGAAACGGCUACUACAUCCAAGGAAGGCAGCAGGCGCGCAAAUUACCCAAUCCCGACUCGGGGAGGUAGUGACAAUAAAUACUGAUACAGGGCUCUUUUGGGUCUUGUAAUUGGAAUGAGUACAAUUUAAAUCCCUUAACGAGGAACAAUUGGAGGGCAAGUCUGGUGCCAGCAGCCGCGGUAAUUCCAGCUCCAAUAGCGUAUAUUAAAGUUGUUGUGGUUAAAAAGCUCGUAGUUGAACCUUGGGCCUGGCUGGCCGGUCCGCCUCACCGCGUGUACUGGUCCGGCCGGGCCUUUCCCUCUGUGGAACCCCAUGCCCUUCACUGGGUGUGGCGGGGAAACAGGACUUUUACUGUGAAAAAAUUAGAGUGCUCCAGGCAGGCCUAUGCUCGAAUACAUUAGCAUGGAAUAAUAGAAUAGGACGUGUGGUUCUAUUUUGUUGGUUUCUAGGACCGCCGUAAUGAUUAAUA
rnacentral:rRNA from 1 species